AGUCAGGCAAGGGAGGCUGAGUGGUGGUGUGAGUCAGCCUGUAACCAACAGAGCCAAGCAUGGGGUCCCUUCUCAGGGAGACAGCACCUGGUGAAGGGCUCCACCUCUGUCUACGUCAUUCAGCACUUCAAUGGUCUUCACAGGGAGUAGGGGGGGGUCGGCCUACUCCAUACCCCAAAUAACCAGGCUGAAAUGCCCUGGGCUGUUCCCUUAGAGUGAAGACCUACAGAAAGAAGGCAACCCAGCCGGUACAGAGCAUGGACGACGUGAACCCAGUCGAGGGUGUAGGCUCUGGGGAGACUCCGUGUCACAGAGUAGUUGUGUGGAGUUUUUAAAACAGCACCUGUCACAUAGUGAGCACAAGACUCAUUACUACGGAUAAGACUCCUUCCCUCCUCUAACAAUCGCAUCAGCACCAGUUCUGGACAGACUCCCCUUCACACCACCCAACCCCUGCUGAAGUAAGCCCCAUCUCAAGAGAGGAACCAGAGCUCCACUAUGCUUUCCUCAGAUUUCACAAGCCUCAUAAACAAAAAGGCACCAACACCGAGUGCGCAGAGAUCAAGACACACAAGUGAGGAAUUAUUUCUCACAGUUCUGGAGGCUGGAAGCCUAAGAUCAACAAGUCAGCAGGGCUAGUUCCCUCUGAGGCCUCUCUCCUGGGCUUGCAGACAGCUUUCUCCUCCCUGAGUCCUCACAUGGUCUUCCCUCUUCUUACAAAGAUUUCUUCUUAUAACGAUACCAGAUGUAUUGGAUUAGGGCCACGCUAAUGACCUUAUUUUCACUGAUAUACUUCUUUAAAGACGCUAUCUCCAAUACACUCACAUCCUGAGGUACUGGGGAUUAGAACUUCAACUUAUUCAUUUUAUGAUUUUUCAGCCCAUAAUACUCAGACUCCUGUUAUUUUUAAAUUAAUGGCCUUCUUCUCAAGGGAGUGAAUCCCCUAGUAUAUGUGGAUGACCACAGGACUUGUGUCCAAAAGAACUGAAAUCCAUCUAUGCCACUCAUUGACUGAGUCCCUUUGUCUCUCUGUGGUUCACUUUACUGUUCUGCAAAGCAAAGGAAUCAUCCCUCUAACCAGAUUAUUGUGAAAGAGCCAUGAAAAUAUACAAAAGAACAGCUAACAACAGUCCUGAUGUGAAGCUUUUUAUGAACUCUGAACCCAGGCUUGUGUCAAGACUUUUGUUGGCUGGUU